rnacentral:rRNA from 1 species
GGACUGAGACACGCCCAGACUCCACGGGACGCAGCAGUAGGGAUCUUCGGCAAUGGACGGAAGUCUGACCGAGCAACGCCGCGUGAGUGAAGAAGGUUUUCGGAUCGUAAAGCUCUGUUGUAAGAGAAGAACGAGUGUGAGAGUGGAAAGUUCACACUGUGACGGUAUCUUACCAGAAAGGGACGGCUAACUACGUGCCAGCAGCCGCGGUAAUACGUAGGUCCCGAGCGUUGUCCGGAUUUAUUGGGCGUAAAGCGAGCGCAGGCGGUUAGAUAAGUCUGAAGUUAAAGGCUGUGGCUUAACCAUAGUACGCUUUGGAAACUGUUUAACUUGAGUGCAAGAGGGGAGAGUGGAAUUCCAUGUGUAGCGGUGAAAUGCGUAGAUAUAUGGAGGAACACCGGUGGCGAAAGCGGCUCUCUGGCUUGUAACUGACGCUGAGGCUCGAAAGCGUGGGGAGCAAACAGGAUUAGAUAUCCUGGUAGUCCACGCCGUAAACGAUGAGUGCUAGGUGUUAGACCCUUUCCGGGUUUAGUGCCGUA